rnacentral:rRNA from 1 species
CCUACGUGCGGCAGCAGUGGGGGAUAUUGCACAAUGGGGGAAACCCUGAUGCAGCGACGCCGCGUGAGUGAAGAAGUAUUUCGGGUUGUAAACUUCUUUUGUCAGGGACGAAGCAAGUGACGGUACCUGACGAAUAAGCCACGGCUAACUACGUGCCAGCAGCCGCGGUAAUACGUAGGUGGCAAGCGUUAUCCGGAUUUACUGGGUGUAAAGGGCGUGUAGGCGGGACUGCAAGUCAGAUGUGAAAACCAUGGGCUCAACCUGUGGCCUGCAUUUGAAACUGUAGUUCUUGAGGGCUGGAGAGGCAGACGGAAUUCCUGGUGUAGCGGUGAAAUGCGUAGAUAUUAGGAGGAACACCAGUGGCGAAGGCGGUCUGCUGGACAGCAACUGACGCUGAGGCGCGAAAGCGUGGGGAGCAAACAGGAUUAGAUACCCUGGUAGUC